CACGUGACUAACCUACCCCGGUGUGGGGGAUAACGGGUCGAAAGACUCGCUAAUCCCGCAUACGAUCCGCCUCGGCGGAGGAAAGCCGUAAGGCGCACUGGGCGGGGGUCGCGUCCCAUUAGAUAGUUGGUGUGGUAAUGGCGCACCAAGUCGAUGAUGGGUCUCUGGUCUGAGAGGACGACCAGACAGAUUGGGACUGAGACACGGCCCAAACUCCUACGGGGGGCAGCAGCAAGGAAUUUUCGGCAAUGGGCGCAAGCCUGACCGAGCAACGCCGCGUGGAGGAUGACGGCUCUUGGGUUGUAAACUCCUUUUGGGGGGGACGAUAAUGACGGUACCCUCCGAAUCAGGCCCGGCUAACUACGUGCCAGCAGCCGCGGUAAUACGUAGGGGCCAAGCGUUGUCCGGAAUUACUGGGCGUAAAGCGUGGGUAGGUGGUCGGUGAUGUGCCGCGUGAAAGCGCCGGAGUAAUGCCGGCGAGGUCGCGGUAGACACACGGACUCGAGGCUCGCAGAGGAACGUGGAAUUCCCGGUGUAGUGGUGAAAUGCGUAGAUAUCGGGAGGAACACCAGUGGCGCAAGCGGCGUUCUGGGCGAGACCUGACACUGAGCCACGACGGCGUGGGGAGCAAACAGGAUUAGAUACCCUGGUAGUCCACG
rnacentral:rRNA from 1 species